CUUUGGGGUGCCUUUCGCCGUGUGCGAUGAAAAAAAGGCUGAGAUUAUACCCUUUGAACCUGAUUCUGGUAAUUCAGACGCAGGGAAUGAGC
rnacentral:ncRNA from 1 species